CAGAUUCAACGAAGACAUCCAGACGGUUCUACGCAGGGUUUUGAGAGCAGCCCCUGUUGAAGCUCUUCUUCAGCUCUUCACCAGCAUUUAAUUCAACCUGAGGAACCAGGAACUGAGGAGGAAGGAAGUAAUUGACAUUCAAAGCCUCUAUUUUUAGACACCUUUACACUUUUCUUUUGCAUCUAACUAGCAAGGAUUUUUCCAAACAAGCUUUUAAUUAGCAGAUGCAUCAGUGGAGUUCAGAGAGAUUGAAUCAAUCUUUCAUAGUUAAACAGGAAGUAAGAGAGCACAUCUUGAGGAUCUAAUAUCAGAGCUGUGGGCUUACCUACAAAACUAGAUAGUUUCCAAAAGAGCAGGUUUGUUCACCUCUGCAAGGUAAGAUGAUAAGCCCAGUAUUUGCACUAUCUCAUUUAAUCCUCAAAACCGCAGAGAGAUACAAAAAUAUGUCCCCAUUUCACAGAGAAAAAUAUAGAGGUGACAAGAGAUUGAACCUGACCAAGUUCCCAGGUAACUAUGGAACAGAGAAAGUGCUCAGAUUUAGUUUCCUCUGACU